UCAGAAAAAAAUAAUCAAACAUUAAAAUUAAAGUUCAUCUUCCAUCCUUAAAUAUUUACCAAUAUCAGCUUGAUGAAGGCAUGAAGCACUACAAUCGCAUUAGGAUCCAUCUUCCUAUAAUCUUGUGUACUCUUUGCUGCUACCCCAAUUCCCACCACCACAUCAGACAUGAUAACAUAAUCGGGCCCAUCUUUCUCCCUAAUACUCUCUGUUAUCCUCCUUACCUUACCUGAGACUAAUUCCCUUUUCCACCUUAUUCUCCUACUCAACAAUGGCCUUCAAAGUUACACUUCAUUUAUUCAUACUCAUAAAAUUCAUUUAUUCAUACUCAUAAAAUUUUUGGGGGAUUGUUAAAUGGUUAAGAAGAAUAAAAAUCUGAAUUUAUGUCAUUUUUCCCUCUUUUUCAGCAAUCAAAAUCCUAAUACUUUUCCCAUUUUCUGCCACCUAUAUAAAAAAAAAAAUGCAACCUUUAUAGAUAAUUUUGAGCAUAAAUUUAUAAAAAAAAUGAAUUGAAGUGGAAAUUUUAGAGAAGACGAACUAAAAUUUUGUGGCGAUGGUUUUUGAGAGAUCAAAUAUGAAGUGGAGGUUUAUUUCCUCUGUCCCAUUGAUUUUUCUUUGGUGGAUGAUAAGAAGAAAAGCUGAGGGACGAGUGGUGAAGGUUGCCGGUGACAGUGGUGAUUCCCAACAAGAAGAGUUGGAAGGAAUAUGCUAUCGGUGACCUUUACCGAUCUACUUUGGUGGUGCAAAUGUGGUGUUAGAUUUGGCGAGGCAAAAAUUUUCCGAUGAAAUUUCCGGUGCGGGGAAGAAGGAAGAAGGAGAAACGAGGUGCAAAUAUUUUUUAUUUUUUUUUUGUUUCUCUUUAAUCUAAAUCUAUGAAUUCAAGCUCAUUCAUUUCUACGCAUGAAUUACACACAUUUGUCCAACUCAGCACAUAAGUUGCCACAUAUACUCGAUCAACAGUCAUAGUGGUUUAAAAAAUAGAUUUCGAUCAAGUAUAAAUGUCUAGAUGAAACUUUAUGGAGUAUAGGGAUUGGAAUGUAUAACCGAAACAAGUACAGGAAUUUACUAGGCUAUUCUGCCAAUUCAAUAAUAAGGUAUUUCAUAAUAUAUUGUAUACAUUAUACUAGGCUAUAGCAUAUAAAAUUAUAAAUAGGUUGAAAUGACAUAGGGUUUGAGAAUAUUGAGUAAGACAAGUACUUAUGAUGAGAGAGAAACUUAAGAGAGAUAUUUGAGAUAUGAAAAGGUUGUAUAUAAUUUAAUGAAAAAGUUAAAAUAAUAUAAUAAAUUGUAUUUAUGUAAUUUUUUGAAAUUAGUUGUAAUUCUUUUAAAUUUUACUUAAAAAAAGGUUGAUCGUGUAAAUUCCUCUCCAAAAAUUACUUGGUAGCUCACAUAAACUCGAAUCUUAUGUGCUUGCUCUGUCACUGUUUCUACUAUACCUUGCUUUCUAUGGCCUAUCUAUGCUGCAAAAAAUGAUGGCCUUUAUAUCACCCUCUAAAUUGCUUAAGAGUGUCCUUGAAGUAGUCAAUUUCAGGAUGUAAUAGAUGUUUAACCAUUCAUUUUAACUGUGGUUGAUAGAUUUCUACUAUCUGUGAUGAAGUGAAAGUUACAGAGAGAUUACUAGGUAACUCUUCGUUAUCGUACCUCGUGCAUCAAUGCAACAAAAAUGGGGAAAGCACUUUUGUACAAACCUCAUUUAUCCCCUGUUUACAGUUGAUUGUCAAAUAUCCUUUUCAUAAUACAUAUCCCUAUUCCAAACUAUAUUACACGAACUAAUAUUGAAAAGGUACAACAACAAACCUAAAUAAAAAGAAAUGAAAGAGGGAAAAAAAACAUAAAAUUGCAAAGUUUGUGACACAGCAGUUCAAGAAUGUAUGAACUCUGGUACAAGCCUACGGAAAUAUGAGAGUUCAUCGUCCGAACAGGGAGUUCGUUUCUCUGCUAGUAGCCUCUUCUCCAACAAUGACAAGCCUUCUUUUCCAGCAUGUACUGGCUUCGAAAACUGGGAAACAGCUAAAGUAAUCUCUUUAACAAAAUCUACUAUCACUCCCUCAACACCCAUCAUGUAUUGCAAGUGAACCACCUCCUGCUCAUUGCUGCAAUUGUAUAAAUUGUAUUUCUGUUAUUACUACACUAGGUCUUUAAACUACAGUCUAAUCACUUCUUUUUAUUAAAUGCAACAAGAUGUCAAACUUACUUUGGCUGGCCAUACGUCAAAAUGGAAAGAUUGGAUUCUUUGAUUUUUGCUAUCAUUGUUGGAUUUCUUAAAAUGGCUUUGACUUCUGAGACAAUUCCUUGUAAACCACCUUCUAAGCACAACUUAAUUGCCUCAUCCAAUGAGUUCCUUCUGAUGUCGGAAUAAAUUUCAGAUCCUCCAUUUGUUAGGAAGAAAACCUGGAUGGUCAUAGAUGACACAUUUCAAGAAAUGUUCAAACAAAAUGUCCAAUCUAAGAAGCUAGUUCGGCGUAGUUAUGGAACUGCAAAUGUCAUUGCUCACUGG
rnacentral:lncRNA from 1 species